rnacentral:rRNA from 1 species
UACGGGGGGGGCAAGCGUUGUUCGGAAUUACUGGGCGUAAAGGGCUUGUAGGUGGCCAACUAGGUCAGACGUGAAAUCCCUCGGCUUAACCGGGGAACUGCGUCUGAUACUGGAUGGCUUGAGUGUGGGAGAGGGAUGCGGAAUUCCAGGUGUAGCGGUGAAAUGCGCAGAUAUCAGGAGGAACACCCGUGGCGAAAGCGGCUCUCUGGGCCGAUACUGACGCUGAGGAGCGAAAGCGUGGGGAGCGAACAGG